rnacentral:misc_RNA from 1 species
AACGCGCCAUUAAUGAGCUUUAUUCAUUUCUUUCUUCCAAAUAUAGUGAGUGAUAGGCUAUCCAUCAAUCAUAUUGGUACUGCCUCAACUGAAUGACCUUCAUGACCAAAGGUCGAUCUAAUUGCAGGCUCAGAAGAUGGGUAAUCGAUGGUGGCAGUGGAGGUAGAGGUAUAGCUCGAUGCUGUGUUGAAGCAGUAGACCC